GGUAGAACAUCACCUUGCCAUGGUGGGGGUCGCGGGUUCGAAUCCCGUAGUUCGCU
rnacentral:tRNA from 1 species